CCUACGGGAGGCAGCAGUGAGGAAUAUUGGUCAAUGGGCGAGAGCCUGAACCAGCCAAGUCGCGUGAGGGAGUACUGCCCUAUGGGUUGUAAACCUCUUUUGUCGGGGAGCAAAAGCCGGACGUGUCCGGCUGUGAGAGUACCCGAAGAAAAAGCAUCGGCUAACUCCGUGCCAGCAGCCGCGGUAAUACGGAGGAUGCGAGCGUUAUCUGGAUUUAUUGGGUUUAAAGGGUGCGCAGGCGGAUUUUUAAGUCAGCGGUAAAAUCGUGGGGCUCAACCCCAUCCAGCCGUUGAAACUGGGGAUCUAGAGUGUGCGAGAGGUAUGCGGAAUGCGUGGUGUAGCGGUGAAAUGCAUAGAUAUCACGCAGAACCCCGAUUGCGAAGGCAGCAUACCGGUGCACAACUGACGCUCAGGCACGAAAGCGUGGGUAUCGAACAGGAUUAGAUACCCCUGUAGUC
rnacentral:rRNA from 1 species